rnacentral:lncRNA from 1 species
CGCAAGCCGUCAUACGAAGAGACGGAGCGAGUCACGCACGGAAGCCACAGACUCAUGCAGAUCGCAGACACACACACAUGGAGCCGCCGCCGGCCGUGCACUCAGAAUCACCACUCACGGAGGCACGCAACGGCCAGACAUUGCGCACGGCGAAGGCAGCGUCUUGGCAAUCAGGGCCCAGUGCCGAUUACUGCAACAGUGCAACCGAUUGCACUGUUCAUCAACAAUCAACAGGUCAUCAUCCGAUGAGGCAUAGCCCCUAGGUAAUUUAUUCCUUGCAUCGUUUUUUUAAUCUAAAUUAAUUAUUUCAGACUUCUAUUACUCUAGGUACUUAUAGUCAUAUUUUUCUUUUUAGGUGCUAGAAUCUUAUGAUGUUGCCUAAGAAACAUUUGUGGGGGCUCAGAAAAGAAAACGGAAAAAACUAGCAGACCAAUUUGAGAUCAACUAUGUCACAAGAAAGGUUAAAUGGAUUGGCUAUGUGCACCAUUAAGAGGGAUAUCUUGGACACCAUUGAUCUUAAUACCGUCCUUGAUGAUUUUGCAUUAAGAAAUGCCUGAAGAAGUAUCUUUUUGUGAGAAGCAAUGGAUAUUAUAGAGUUCUAUUCUUCCUUAAGGUAAUCAUAUUAGUUUUAGUCUAUUUUUGUUCCUUGAUAUCAUGAAACAUUAAAUGAAAAAUAUAUUAUUGGAUUUGUUUUUACUUUGCAAGAAAAAUUAGCACUUAUAUAUAUUAUAAGAUUUAUAUAUAGUCUAGAGGGACCGUCACGACGAACUCGCUAGAGGGCCCUCAAAAUCCUAGGACCGGCACUGGCAGCACAGUUGUAUCAUCUUGUGAUUUUUGUAACUUCUAAACCAUAAUAGCUAUGAGGGUGAUUCUUGCGGUCAGAGAAAGAUCUUGAAGUCCACUUUCAUCCAAAAGUUUCUCAUGAUUUUUGUUCAUCCGAGAACAGAGAUAUAAUCUGAUAAAGAGAGGAUACUCCGGAAAGGCAGGAUAAGAUAACAAGAGAAAAACCAAAACCCAACUAUUUAUUUCACUAAUCCUUAUACCUUAGACCUAUAACUAAAUGAAAUUAUGGAGGAAACCCACAAGAUCAUUACACUCAUUACAAAGAUCCAAAUCAAGCAUAAGCAUAAUGACAAACCAACUAAGCAUUAAAGGUUCACACUUCACUCAACUUGCGAUACUUUCGUUUUCUUCAUAGGGAGGGUAAAGAUCCUAAAACUUAUAUUUCAAAGACGCAAGAAGAUGGUAACAAAAGGUUUUAAUAGCAUACCAAAUCGAGGAGUAAAGGUAAGAACGAGUACUUUUAAAAUAAGCAACAAGGUAGAGACAAAUAGCAAAGAUAGAGAUAUAGUAUGGAUGAUAAUACCAAGAUUUAUAGAUAUGCACCAUAUGUGAGUUUUAGAAGUCAAAUCCCACAUAUAGCUACAAAUAAAGGGUAAUAUCAAAGGACAAUGCAUAAAUAUAUAACGUACUUAGUAUAAAAGAGAUAACCUUAAGUAUCAAACAGCGGAUAGACAAUCUCCAAACAUUAGGUAUUAACUUCACUCUACAGGAUCCAACUGACUGGUGGAUCACAAGCCCAAAACUUCUCCUGAGGUGUGGGGGAAAUUGCAAGAGUGAGCACAUAUUGUACUCAACAAGUAUAACCAGGGGUUCAUGAGGCUCAAUAAGCUGACACUGGUUUGACUGCAUUUAGCUUUUAUAUGUAGAUAGCAUAUUUAUAUUUAGAUAGCAAUUAUCAAGGUAGCAUAAUUAAUUCCCGUAACCACAUGAUCAAUGUAUACAAGAAUUAAGAAUAACACAUAUAAACAACAAAAUAAACCAUCAUUUAUCAUUAAUCAUAUUCAUCAGUGUCCAUCUAUUCCGUCAAUUUUCCGGGAUGCCCGUAUCAGUGGGCACGGCUAGUAUACCAGAUUUAACACUCUGCAUAGGUUGUACAUCUUUACCCAUGAGUCAUGAUUUACCCUUUCGCCCGAGGUAGCUAAUCUCUUAACCCCCUUCCAAGGGAGGUCGGCAGGGAUCACUAUGAAGCCUUUCAAAAGUUCAUCUAACAUGUUAGGGGCCGCAAGGUUUCCUUUGCGCGCAGAUAUAGAGCCCCCCUUCCGAUGGCACAAUGACUCGCAGCCUAUACACAUACAGAUAGAGGCCACACUAUACCCAAAACGGUUCAGCCCCUCCGCCCUUUCGGGUAACCUCUAACAAACUAGAAAAGUUCUUCAUACUGAGCUGAAGCCAUAGCCAUAUAGCCCUCAUGGUUGUACGAGUUGUCCCAGCUUUUGCCAAGGGAUAAGUCCUUAUGGAGGGUCAAGAUUAAUCCAGCAAAAGCCAGAGUUCUUUCCACCCUUUUUAUUCAAGUUGCUAGAAAGCUUAUUUUAUUGUUUAUUGUUUAUCCAAAAAUUCAUGUUACAAGAUCAUGUAUUAUAUUCAAGCACUAGCAAGAACUACCUAAAUGUAUAUCCAAAUAGGUAACAUGGAAUUCAGGAUAACAAUCAUCUAUGAUUUUGCUAAGGUCAUCAAGGUGGACACAUGCAUAUGAUAUAUAUUGUAUUAAUUGUGUAUAGGUAACAAGGAUAGUCCCAAGUUAUACUUGCCUUGAUCAAAGCUCUCCUGAGCCUGCUGCUGGUCGUCAAAAGCUUGACCUUGAUCACCAACGUAUCGCUCACCGUCUAUACUCGAUCAUCAAUCAACAACACGAAAUCCAAUGUAGACAAUCAUACACGAAGCAAACAAGCUAUAAUUAGAACAAUACAACAAACAGUGGUAAAAGAAAUAUAAAAGUUUAUCAAAAUAUUCUACGCAGCGCUACGAUCACAUAAACGUAAAGUUCACGAAAAUCGGAAUUAAAAAGUAGAAGAUAUGAAUUUUCAAAGAUUUUAUAUAGAAAAGUAAUUAAUUAAAUAGGUUCACGAAAUUAAAAAGUUUCAAACUGGUAGAACAGUGUGACUAUCUUGUAGAGCUCGUGAAAACGAACCCAACGCAAUUUGAAUGGGUCAAAACGGAAUUAAAAUAAAUAUUUUAUAGCCAAAACAAGUUCAGUGGCAUUUUAGUAAAUACUGAAAACGUAUUUUGAAACAAGCCGGCAGACUUUACGUCUUCCAACUCAGAAAGCGUAUUUCAUCCCGUACGUUUUGGACCGCGGGUUUCAUAUCUAAAAACGUCAGGGGCUCUUUAAUAAAAUCUACCCCGAAGGGGUAUGUUCUAAUCUGGCGCGUUGGGUUUAGAUCGAACGGCUCUGGAUCAAUCCCAAGAGGGAAGAGGGAUGCCGGCCGGCUACAGAGCCUCCGGCGGUGGUGCCAUGGCCGGAGGGCCUUGCUCCUCGCCGGAGUUGGUCGGGAAAGUGUUCCGGUGCACCGUUUAACAAAUCAAGAGCAUGGGGAGCAAGAGGAGGGAAUGGCGAACUCACCCCGAGGCAAAAUCGAAGGCAAGGACAACUCGAAGAUGUCCUACGUCAUGAUUUGGCGGAUCCUGGGUCCCUGCGAGGUUCGGCGGUGAAGUGAGAGCAGUAGAGACCGAGAGAGAGUACAGAGAGGAUCUCGGCAGCUUCUUUACCUCGGCACGUGGUUGCGAGCGAGAAUUGAGCACCCCGGAUCGAAAACCAUGGCGGUGGCUUCUCAGUUUAACGGCGAGAUCUGAACUGCGGUGGCUAAAGCGGCUCAGGCCUCUUGCGGAUGGGGAAAAGGGUCACGAGAGAAAGCUCGGAGCUUUAAAGGGAUUCGGUGGCGCGUGGGGAAAGAAAUCCCGAAGAAAUUGGCGUGAUUGACGCUGGGGCUCGUGUCCGGCUCCGUUUCGAUCGGAGGAAGAAGAAAGGAAGGCCACUGACCUGUGGACCCGAUACGUCAGCGUCUCCCGGCGUGGGGUUUGUGCGUCAGCGAAAGAGAGGAAAAGGAGAGGGGAGGGAAGCAGGCCGCGCGCGUGGGCUAGCCAGGCCUCGCGCGAGGGGAGCUGGGGUUGGUGUGGGCCGAGCCCUGGGGAGGCUGGGAGGGAGUUUGGCUGGGCCAAGCUGGGAGUUUGUUUUCUCUUUCUCUUUUUCUUUUAUUCCUUUUCUUUUAUUCCAAAUCCAUUUUAAAAAAUCACUUUGAAAUACUUUUAAACUUUAGUCAAACCACUCAAGUCAACAAAAAUUAAUGCAAAAGCAUGAAUGCACAACAAGUGGCUAAGUCCUAUGAUAAAUUUUAUUUUAAUGAAAAAUAUUAUUUUUCUAUGUUUCAUGAGCACAAAAAGUCAUAAAUAAAUCGUUUUCACCUAUUUUUAAAAUGAGCAAAAUUUUGGGUGUUACAAUAUGGUGGGCAUGCUGCAAUUAUUCGGACUGAACAAUAUUUGGUUUGGUUCCGAAGCUGCCAAUUUGGACUACUGAGUUAUUUCAAUUCACCUAGAAUGAAAUGUGUUUUUCCUUGUUGGGGAAGGCCUAGGGCUAUCCAUGGAGUUACACGAUCGAGAGCUUGGCCCUUGCAAGGGCUUCCUAGCGAGGGGCUCCAACAAGGACUAGGGGGAAGCGCGCUUGUGUGCUUCUCGAUACCUGGGUAAAAAUACCAGAGUCAGCGACAGGAGUUGGCAUCUCUACCUUAUUGUUAGCUUCCGCGUUUAUAUAUUACCUUGGCUAUGUGCUUUACCUUUUCUAGCUUAAGUUGAUAGGAUUGGAAUCUAGGUUGCAUAACUCUUUUGCGGUAGAGACAGCAACACACUAGCGAAACCUUAGUUGCACAUUUAUAUAGUAUAUUUAAUUGCAUAGGUUUUGCUAAGGUUAGAAAAGAGGCUAGAAAUAGAGUUCUAAGUUGCCUAAUUCAUCCCCUCUUAGGUGUCAGAGUCCUUUCAUCAUCUAAGUCCUUUCAACAUCUAUUGAAACAGGAAGAAGUCAAUCGAGCUUGAAGAAAAAUCCCAUCGUAACCGUAGUUGCUGCGUGUAUAAGAGUCGAAAUGGGGAGUGCUUUCCUUCCAUAGCAUCUAGUAACCAUACUUCAAGAUGAAAUUAUGCGGAUUUUGCAACUGCUCCAUCAAGCAGGUAGUUCAAGGAUUGGGCUAUAUAUGAGGAUUAUUUGCAAAAAUGCUCAACAAGAAGGAGCAUGAACUAAGAUACUAGAUACCAUAAGUGUAUUGUAUCAAAUUAAUCUGCAACCCAUCACAUUACCACAAACCUUGACCACAACUAUAUAUUAUAGCCCAAGAAUCAAAUAAAAUGCCCCAACUUUUCUUGAAAACACUAGCGAAGAACAUUAUUAGGGCCCAAUGCAACCAAUAUGUAUCGCCCCCUCCUAUCUACAAAAUCCCAAGCCAUAAACAUCUCAACCCAGCCAAUCUGUAUCAAAUCCCCUAUCUUUUUUUGUUCACCCUAGUUACCAACAUUAUGAUCCGCAUCAAAUCCGGCCAACACUGAUUUGUACAUGAUUAGAUUAUAGCAUGGAAAGGAGAGAAGUUGAAGCAAUGAGUGAAAAUGGGAGAGAUAGGACAGGGGGGCGUGCGGAGGGGGUAGGGGAGUGAAUUGGGAGUGGAAAGCGAGAAAACCACUGGCACCUUGCAUGUAUAACAGGAGGGUAAGUAAUCCUAGACAGACCAGGCGGCAUCAAUGUAACACCCUAAAUUUUGCUCUUAUGGAAAUAGAGGAAAAAUAAUUAAUUAUACAUUUUUGUGCUCAUAAAACAUAAGGAAAAAUAAUAUUUUUCAUUAUAUUAAAUUUAUUAUAGGGUUUAGCAACAUGACUGAGCAUCCAUGCUGCUGCAUUUCAUUUUGUGUGAGUGGUUUUGGCUAAAACUCAAAAAUAUAUAUUCAAACAUAUUUUAAAAUAAACUUGAAAUUGGCUUUGAAUAAAAAAAGAGAUUUAUCUUUCCCCUCACUCUCGGGCUCGGCCCAAAAUUCUUCCCCCCCCCACCCCGCGGCCUGCUUUCUCCCCCCCCCCCUUCUCUUCUUUCUGCCUUGGCGGCCCAGGAGCUCGCCCAGCCCACUGCCAAACCAGCCCAGCAGCUGAGCGCCAGCGCCCUCCCCUCAUCCUUUUCGCUGACAAGCAGGUCCUGCGCUCCUGAGUCGCAGACAGGUGGGGUCCAUCUGUCGGGACCUUCGUCCAACUCGUGGCCGCACCGGACUCCUCCAGGAGAUCGAGUCGGCAACGCGUGAUCCCCGUGCUCGGCGUGUUCCGCACGUUGGGAGCUCUUUAUAUAGCAGUCGCGACCCUGAUGCCUCCCUAUCUCUAACCCUAGAGCAAGCCGUCGCCCUAGUCUAGUCCCAAAACACCGCCGAGAUCUGCGCCAAGCUCGAAACGCCGCGACACCCCGUCUCUGCUCCCGUGAGCCCUUUGCCGACCUUCUCCUUGCUCUUGCGAAGUCGCCAAACUUGUUCUUUCUCCUUUCGUGUUCUCUGUGCUUUGCUUGACCUCGCCGAACCUGUGCAGGAGCCCGCCGUCCGCCUUCCUCCAUCGCGAGCGCGCCCGAGCCUCUUUUCGACACCGGUGUUGCCCUAGGUAAGUCCGCAUCAAGCUCCUCUACGCUCCUGUCCAAUUGGUUCACGUUCUACCGCCCUAAAUCGCUCAAACCGCGAGCGCCGACCAACUCCGGCCAUGGCACCGCCGGGAUUGGCUCCAACUCCGGCCGGCCAGCUCCCUUCCCCCACCCCCAAUCUAAUCUCGGUCAUCCAAGUGAGAUCCAACGGCCCGAAAUGAAGGAUACCCCUUCGGCUACGUCUUUUACAAAAGAGCCCCCUGCUUUUUAAAGAUCAAGCCCGUAGUCCUUUGCGGAUUUCCAGAAUACGUUUUCCAACUCCGAAAGCGUAUUCCCGUCCGCUCAGAUUCAAAAUACGCUUUCUCAAAAUUACAGAUUUGCCAUUAAUCCUAUUUUACUCUUAAAAACUCCGUUUUAACUCUGUUUUGAUCCGUUCAAAUUGCGUUAGGUUCGUUUUUUUGUAAUCUAUAGAUUAGUAGCACUGUUAUACAUGUUUCCAACUUUUUAAAUCUGAGCUUAGAUUAAUCUAUUAUUUUAUUAAAGGAAAUCUUAGGAAAAUCAUAACUUCUUCGUUUUAGCUCCGAUUUUCGUGAUCUUUACGUCUGUGUGAUCGUAGUGCGAUGUAGAUUCAUUUUAUAAACUUUUCAUCUUUAUUUGCUACUGUUGGUGUAUUAUUCUAAUUAUAGGUUUGUUUGCUUUGUAUGAUUGCCUCUAGAUGAUUGUUGAUGACGUGAUGACUGAGUUUAG